GGAGAAAUGGGUGAGUGGCUUAAACCACCUUCCUGCUAAGAAGGCGUACUGGGAAACCGGUACCGCAGGUUCAAAUCCUGCUUUCUCCGCGA
rnacentral:tRNA from 1 species